UACGGGGGGGGCAAGCGUUGUUCGGAAUUACUGGGCGUAAAGGGCUCGUAGGCGGCCAACUAAGUCGGAUGUGAAAUCCCCAGGCUCAACCUGGGAACUGCAUCCGAUACUGGAUGGCUUGAAUCCGGGAGAGGGAUGUGGAAUUCCAGGUGUAGCGGUGAAAUGCGUAGAUAUCUGGAGGAACACCGGUGGCGAAGGCGGCAUCCUGGACCGGUAUUGACGCUGAUGCGCGAAAGCCAGGGGAGCAAACGGG
rnacentral:rRNA from 1 species